rnacentral:rRNA from 1 species
ACUGAAUUUUAAAUGGCCGCAGUAUAUUAACUGUGCAAAGGUAGCAUAAUAAUUAGUCUUUUAAUUGAAGGCUGGUAUGAAUGAUUGGACGAAAUAUUAACUGUUUCAUAAUAAUUUAAAUUAAAAUUUUAUUUUUUAGUAAAAAAGCUAAAAUUUAAUUAAAAGACGAGAAGACCCUUUAAAUCUUUAUAUUCAAAUUAUUAAAAUUUUUAGGAUUUUUUUUAUUAUAAUAAUUAAUAAUAUUUUAUUGGGGUGAUAUUAAAAUUUAAAUAACUUUUAAUUUAUAAAAUCAUUUAUUUAUGAGUUAUUGAUCCUUUAUUAUGGAUUAAAAAUUUAAGUUACUUAAGGGAUAACAGCGUAAUUUUUUUGGAGAGUUCUUAUCGAUAAAAAAGAUUGCGACCUCGAUGUUGGAUUAAAAUAUAAUUUUAGGUGUAGUUGCUUAAAUUUUAAGUCUGUUCGACUUUUAAAUUUUUACAUGAUCUGAGUUUAAACCGGUGUAAGCCAGGUUGGUUUCUAUCUUUAAUAA